AGCUUUGCACAGUGGCAGCAUUACAGCCAAUGAGGUUUACCCAAAGUGCAAUUAUUGCUAACUGAAAACUUUUCCCAAUACCCCGCCAUAAUGGGGAAUAUAUUCCGCAAUGGCAAUUUUUGACAGUCUUUAUGGAGA